rnacentral:rRNA from 1 species
GACGAACGCUGGCGGCGUGCCUAAUACAUGCAAGUAGAACGCACAGUUUAUACCGUAGCUUGCUACACCAUAAACUGUGAGUUGCGAACGGUUGAGUAACGCGUAGGUAACCUGCCUGGUAGCGGGGGAUAACUCUUGGAAACGAUAGCUAAUACCGCAUAAUAUUGAUUUUUCCAUGAUAAUUGAUUGAAAGAUGCUAUUGCAUCACUAGCAGAUGGAUCUGCUUUGUAUUAGCUAGUAGGUUAGGUAACGGCUCACCUACGUGACGAUACAUAGCCGACCUGAGAGAGUGGUCAGCCACACUGGGACUGAGACGAGACCCAGGCUUCUACGGGAGGCAGCAGUAGGGAAUCUUCGGGAAUGGACGAAAGGCUGACCGAGCAACGCCGCGUGAGUGAAGAAGGGUUUCGGAUCGUAAAGCUCCGUUGUAAGAGAAGAACGGGUGUGAGAGUGGAAAGUUCACACUGUGACGGUAUCUUACCAGAAAGGGACGGCUAACUACGUG